ensembl:snRNA U2 U2 spliceosomal RNA
AUCGCUUCUCGGCCUUUUGGCUAAGAUCAAGUGUAAAAAUUACUACAUUGUAGUGAAUUAUUUUACUAAAUGACCCUUUUGAUAACUGGGGCUAUCACCUUAGAAUAAUGUGUAAAUUUCCCCAUUCUUAUU